GUCACGAUGACGCGGGCGUGAUGUGGCUGAUUCAGACGUUUAGCAUCGCGGUUGAGUUCUCGUUGGAGAAUUUGCCUUCGGGUUAUUGUAAUUCUCUGGGGGACAAUCGAGCAGGUAAUCAGAUAAAACGCCACAGUUACGUUACUUUGGAGUUUCCUAGCCUGAAGAUGUCAGCCGUGCUUAUUUGAAGUUAUAGCUAACGUUAGCUCUUGAAAAUCCUUUAAAAAUAAAGCAAAGAAUAAACGAGGCGCCGUUUUUGGCAGCUGUGGUUAGUGGGGUUUAACCCUAACUACUCUACAAUAACGUGCUAUAUAAUUUAGUAUGAGAUGUGCUCACUGUCAGUGCUGUAGUGGUAAAAUUAGAGGUGGGUAAACUCUGAAUUUUGCGAUCAUACAGACCUCGACGCGAUGCGAAGCAACGCAACACAAAGCGGCUAUAUUGCAUUAUGUUAUCAGUAAAAGUCAUAUACAAUCAAUGACAAUGAAUAAAUGUGUUAGUAGUUUGAAGUUUAUUAAAUUUAAGAAAACAGUAAAGAAAAGUAUGUCAACACAACAACACAAUUGCAGAUUAAGAACUAUCUACAUAUGGAGUCUCCUCUUUACAGUAGUGCCCAGAGGGCCUCCUUGUCCUCCACGUCAGGUCCUGCCUUGCACAGAGGAGCCAUGAACAACAGCAAAAAGAAAACACCACACAGACAACUUGCUUGCCCCUAAAGAUGCAUUUGGUCGCUUAAUUGUGAUCAGUUCAAUAGUUCAACCAAAAGUAGAUUGUUGUUUUUACAUUUUAAACACUAUUGCUAAACCACUUGUACAUAAAAAUGAUCACAAUGCUCUUUGGUCCUUAUUUUUGAAGAUGGUUCCACAGUUAUGGAAAAUAGGAGAUGGACUUGUAGCUCUUGGGACUUGGGCUCAUGCCAGUCUGCACUGAUCAAUGAACCCUUGUCCAUUAAAUGAAGACAGCAGCUAAUUUCAGGUAUGGAUGGAUGAUUGCCUCUUCUGUAUCUGGCUUUCAAAGCCCUCUCGCUGGACCAAGGAGGAGGGCAGCUUGACCUGAGGAGUUCACAUAAGGUCUUCUACUUCAGAAGAAAAAAACAGAACAUUAGAGGGAAUGAGCCCAUGCAUGUAAACAGCACCUAACAGGACACCCUGACCGUAGCACUGUGAACCAAUGUUAUUACUAAAUACUACUUGAAUGAAUGGACAAUAUUGAGCGACAAUACAAAAGAGCUUUAAAAGAUUGUUGCAUGCACGGUAAUGUGGAAACAUUUAGUAUGCCUGAGACCGAUUGUGUAUUAAGAUGAAGAAUCAAAUUGAAUCAGCCACAUUCGACUCAUAUGAGCAUCAUGAUAAUCAUUCAAUAGGUCCGGAAAGUAACUUCCCCAGUUGUAAAAUCGAAUUGGGCGUUAAUUUGGGAGUUUUUCUGUUUAUAAAUUAGCUUUAUCUAAUCAAUUGUUCCUUUAUAAUUUGAUAUAUCCCAACAGACAACAAUUAUGUUUCAGACGUCAGAGCACAAUUCUGAUAAUAACUGUGAAUUCCUUUUUUAUUUAUUUGUUGGGGUUAUAACAAGUCAAAGUUGAAUAUAAUUGUGUUUAUUCUCAAGUAAACCUGCCAUGUGUAAUUCAUGUUUUUUUUUUUAACUGGACAGGACAGGAUACAGAACAUAACCAUAUUUUGUUUCUGACUAAUUUUCUAAAACAUAUGUUGAUGAGGUUUUUGUGUUCAUUUUAUAGAAGUUGCUAAGAGAAGGUGUUUCAAUGCUUCUUUUGUAUCACCAAGACUGACAUCUGGAGGAUAAAACAAAGAGCUGCAAGUGUUUCAGACUUCUUUUCUUUUUGGAAUUCUGAGGAAUUAGUUUUUUGGAAACACUAAUGAACCCCUUGCGUGUCCUUUGCGUGCCCUUUUCACACCAAAACCCAUUCAUUCUCUAUGGUUGUGCUAAACCACUGCGGGUGUAAUAUAUCUUUGGCCACCGGUGGCGCUGUUGUGCGGACCGAGCGUUUGCCCGGAUGUAAAGCGUUUCUCCGGUCAUUCUCCGUCAGUCUACCCGGGAUAGAGCACCGAAGCGACGGUGCACCUUCGUCGGACCUCGCGCUAUGAGGAAGUCACUAAACAGUAAGUCAAUGACAUUUAAUGUGUAAUAAUUAUUAAGAUAAAUAUGCAGCAUGACUAUAAAUAUAAUUUAUGUUGGUGUCACGCCACAUGUUAGUUUAUAGUUGUGUUCACGUGUGUUUGACUGCAUUAAUUACUAGUUGCAUAUCACAGAUGUUACUCAACUAAUAAAUGAGGAUCUUGUAAUAGAUUAAACCACCAGAAUUGUUUAAAGUCAGUCAAAUUUAAACACAUUAAUGCCUCAAUGAUUAGGAUAAUAUAUGAUAUAUUUGGCAUCACGACUAGUUUUAAUCUUACUUUAAAAAAAGUUAAUUUAACUUAAAGUUAAUUUAAGUCCCUGAAGCCCAUGUACUGGGGACUGGCACAGCGCUGCAGCGCUGCAGGCAUAGAAAAGGCACAAUAACAGUGGGUAGACAGGUAAAUUAUAUCAAUAUUUUUAACCAUCAUUGGUGACACAAACAGCUCAUAGUAACAACUUAGAUUACUUUUCAUUUUUUUCAGUUUCAUUAAAGAAAAGCCCUUUGCAUUCAAUUUUAUUUUGAUGACCAUAUCCACCGGUGCACACAUGGUGGUCUAUAUGACUGCUGUCACAUCGAUGGCUUUCCUUUUCUUUUUUCUUUCAGGGAUUGCUGUGUUGCACUUAAGGUGGCAGAGUCGUCUGCAGGAGAACAUCUGAAAUGGGAUUCUUGGAGAACAAGAGAUUGCCAAUGUCACGUCUGGCAACCAUCACAUUUUAAUGCAAACAUUAAUAUCAAGCUGGACUUGUUUCACUGCAUGAGGCGGUUCCUCCGUGAGUGUGUGUCGGUGGCAUCCCGCCCUGUACAGUUCCUUUGCUCAGUUCCUUUGCUCAGUUCCUCUGGACUGGGACAAGCACAACAGCAAGACAGAUCACACCCAGGCCCCGAAUCCACCUCCUCAAAGUGAUCCACUCGCUACACAGUCGGAGGUUCAAGGGUGUUCCAGUUUUCUCCAUACAUUUGUGUCACUUAUCCAUUUUUUUACAAGAUGUGAAAAUAUAUUUAGGGUGUUAUUAAAUAAACAUUCACAUACAAAUACCAGUCUUUCAUGAGCUUUUAAUGAAAGUUUAUAUUUAUUAGACAAGUAUUUGAUUCUCUAGGUCAGAAUGACUUAUAAUACUCUGUCUUUUGUUCCUGUAGAAACUCUACACAGCAAAAAUUGGAGUGUUGAAAUUUCAGGGUUAAAAAUUUCCGAGUUGAUUUUCACUCCCAGAGUGUAAUUUCAACACAUUCUGAUUUAAAUGGUGUUCAGUGUUGGAGUUAUUUGGCAGAGUUGAUCAUGUCAGUGUUAACCCAACUCCGCAGAGACGUAAUUAAGCUCCGCCCACGCCUUUCACCUCUUCGGUUAGAGACAGAGAAGACAAGUCUGCGCCAUUUUCUACCUCUCAUGCAGCACUACACGAUCAAAGGGACCGCAAAAAACGUGUCCCAACAUGCAGACGGGUGUUUCACGUGUCUAGUUCACGUGUCUUGACAAUCAUGGGAACACUUCUAUGAUGCUGCAAGCAGCACAGGGUACAUUUCUUGGCGUCUGAAAACAGUCCAGAGGAAGAUUCUGCACAGCCACCAAAUAGCCCAAUUGACUUUUCUCCAGGAGGCCCAAAUUGGCAAAGGACUGUUAAUGUUGAAGGGCAGCUUGAUGGUGAUGCUUGCCAAGAGGCCAUGUCUUUGCUUAACCAUACAGCAGACAAUUCCCUGAUUUUCCAGAAGAUGAGAGAAACCUUUCAGCAUCGUCAGAACCUACGACCAAGAAAUGGCCUCCCUGUUGUUGCUGUUACAUCUCCUUCCACCACCUCCAGGGGGACUGAAGUCUCCAAAAAAUAGUGCAUGUGAUGCAGUUGAAAGACUUGUUGUAUUUCAUAAGUCAUGCUGCAGUUUGGAGGAGCAUCUCCGCAACCAGCAGGGUCGGCAGCCGUACCUCCUCGCUGUUGGGCGUCAGAAGAGCAAGAUUGACAGCUUCUACAUCACCAUGGAUAAGCGUCUCAUCCCAUGCAAGGCAAACCGCUCCCUCGGGGCAUGUGAUGAACUUUUCAAAGCACAUUUUGUGUUUAAUUUGUCUUACGAUGUGGCACUUGUGAAUUUUUAUACAUUCCUGCAGACAACAGUGUAUAACAUUGAUGUGGGGAAAAUGAAGGAGUCACCCAGAGUUAAAGACUUGAGAGCAAGACUGCUUAACCAGCCAGUAGCAUUCUCACCCUGUGAGUAAGAAGCUAUAACAAUGCUGACCUGUUUCAUGUGUUGACAAACAAGCUAUUUACAGAGAAUUUUCAUGACCAUCAUCAUGCAUUCAGAGUAUUACGAAGUGCGGAAAGAUGUUUACUAAAAAUGUCUGCGCUUAAAUUUCAUAAACCGUUUCAUAUUCAAAGCUCAUAUAAUGUUUUGGAUGAAAGUUUGUACAUUAUACCUUCAUUCACAAUGUUUUAAUUCAACUGACUGCAAGGGAGAAAAGGAAUAAAUGUUUUUGAAAAUGUUUUUUAUUGUGAUGAAUUCUUAUUAAUAUAAGUAUAUAUUUAAUUAAUACAUUUAAAAUGAAUUAACAUUUUUUCAGUGUAGAUAAUUGACACAUUAGGGAGUGUAAUUAACACUACCAAAAUAGUUAAAAAAAUUAACUCGGAGCAGUGUUAGUUGUCUAAUCCCUCAGUGUUACUUUAACACUGUUUUGUGAGUUAAUAAAGGAACUCUGGUAGAGUGUUAAAUGUUUAACUAUUUUGAAAGUGUUAAUUUAACUCUGGAGAGUGUGGAGCUAUAUAAACUCUCAAAAAGUGUUGAAAUCAACUCUGUGGGAGUUAAUUCAACACUGGACAUUUUGCUGUGUACGUCCGCCGUCGCUGGCAGUUAUCGACCUGCUGCUCAACAAACACCGUGAGCAGAAGGACAUGCUGAAGCUUGUGGACCAGGACUACGCUGCUCUAGUUCACAACUCCUGCACAGACCCCAACAGCAUGCUCCACCCGACAACAAAACUACAUGUUCUACAAUAUGUAAAGCACCUCAGCAAAUUGUUGAACACCAGUUCCUCUUUAAACGUCAGUCCAGAAAAACUGCAAGAGAGGCAGAAACUCUGUCACUCUCUGACAGAGGCGAGUGAGACUACUAGUGUGCAGGUUGUUACGAUGUCUGUUGUAAUUGUUCACCCACCUCCACCUGUUCAGAUGCUGACACAAGCUUCUGUUGAGAAGAUUGUACCCAACAUCAUGGAAAAGCAGCAGCAACAUAAACAGGAACAACAACAACAACCGGGGCAAAAGAAGGGCCGCACGAAAGACAAAAGUUCUUUCAGCUAGAACUGGAUGCCACACAGAAAAGUUCCAUCUGGCAUUUUAAGUGCAAUUAUUUGUAAUAUUCAUGUUGUAAUUAGUUUAUAUAUUGGUUUCUUGCAUUUGUGACUUUGUACAUUGAAAUAUUAUCAUUUUAUUAUUUAUAUUUGGUUUUAAUAUUCAUUAGUUUAAUUAUUUAAAUGUCUUUAUUUCUGUAACAUGUUUGUUUGUAUAGGACUAUACAAAUCGGUUGAUGUAUCUGUGUUCAACAUUUACUGUCCAAGUUAAUAAAUAUAUUUCAAUUA
ensembl:lncRNA